rnacentral:rRNA from 1 species
CCUACGGGAGGCAGCAGUGAGGAAUAUUGGUCAAUGGGCGAGAGUCUGAACCAGCCAAGUAGCGUGAAGGAUGACUGCCCUAUGGGUUGUAAACUUCUUUUAUAUGGGAAUAAAACGUUCCACGUGUGGGAUUUUGUAUGUACCAUAUGAAUAAGGAUCGGCUAACUCCGUGCCAGCAGCCGCGGUAAUACGGAGGAUCCGAGCGUUAUCCGGAUUUAUUGGGUUUAAAGGGAGCGUAGGUGGAUUGUUAAGUCAGUUGUGAAAGUUUGCGGCUCAACCGUAAAAUUGCAGUUGAAACUGGCAGUCUUGAGUACAGUAGAGGUGGGCGGAAUUCGUGGUGUAGCGGUGAAAUGCUUAGAUAUCACGAAGAACUCCGAUUGCGAAGGCAGUUCACUGGACUGCAACUGACACUGAGGCUCGAAAGUGUUGGUAUCAAACAGGAUUAGAUACCCGAGUAGUC